UACUAUAGUCGUAUGGGCCGACGUCGCAGCUCCGUGCCGCAUGGCCGCGGGAUUUAACAGGUCUGUGAUGCCCUUAGAAGUGCUGGGCCGCACGCGCGCUACACUGACACGUUCAACAAGUUCUACCCUGUCCCGGAAGGGCACGGGUAAUCUUUUUAGUAUGUGUCGUGCUGGGGAUCGAUCUUUGUAAUUAUAGAUCUUGAACGAGGAAUUCCUAGUAAGCAUAAGUCAUCAGCUUGUGCUGAUUACGUCCCUGCCCUUUGUACACACCGCCCGUCGCUCCUACCGAUUUUGAGUGAUCCGGUGAACCUUCUGGACUGCGCAUGUCUUUAAGGCUUGCGUGGAAAGUUAAGUAAACCUUAUCACUUAGAGGAAGGAGAAGUCGUAACAAGGUUUCCGUAGGUGAACCUGCAGAAGGAUCA
rnacentral:rRNA from 1 species